rnacentral:tRNA from 1 species
GUCUCCUUAGUUAAAUGGAUAUAACGGGGUCCUCCUAAGACUCUAUUGUAGGUUCGAUUCCUAUAGGAGACGCUA